CUUCUCACCAUUACAUUAUUAUCGUCUCUUGAUUCAUGUUCAUCACCACAGUUUUCUCCGGACUCUACUCUCUGGCUCUCUGCUUUGUUCUCUUGGACUCUCCACUGGGGUGUAUAUUGCUUAGUUUGGAGAACAAAGGCUCUCCCAAGACCAGGAGCCUGAAAAUCAGAGUUGGAAAUGGGAUUUAUUAUGGUGGUAUCGUUGCCGGUGAUACUGUUCAUCUUGAUCGUGGCUCUUGCCUUUUACCUACUUGGUAGGGCGGACGGCCGGAGAGAAGCAUAUAUUGUUGGACGUCCUCCGGUUCCGGUGCCUCCAUUCCAACCCCAUGAGAAGCCAUCCGAGCAGGUGUAAGGUUUAGGGAUCGAGUUGUUAAUUUCUCUGUUGUAGACUUGAAGCAAAUAGUAAACAGUUUGAUCCCUUCUUAUAUAUCAUCAAGAUGAUAUGCAAACUGCAGAGUAGUUUUGUACAUUAUGUUCAAAUAUGAUAUCAAAAUGUAAUCGUUU